GACGUAGGGGGCAAGCGUUGUCCGGAUUUAUUGGGCGUAAAGAGCUCGUAGGCGGCUCAGCAAGUCGGGUGUGAAACCUCCAGGCUCAACCUGGAGACGCCACCUGAUACUGCUGUGGCUAGAGUCCGGUAGGGGAGCACGGAAUUCCCGGUGUAGCGGUGAAAUGCUUAGAUAUCGGGAGGAACACCAGUGGCGAAGGCGGUGCUCUGGGCCGGAACUGACGCUGAGGAGCGAAAGCGUGGGUAGCAAACAGG
rnacentral:rRNA from 1 species